GGGUUGUGAGGUUAAGCGACUAAGCGUACACGGUGGAUGCCCUGGCAGUCAGAGGCGAUGAAGGACGUGCUAAUCUGCGAUAAGCGUCGGUAAGGUGAUAUGAACCGUUAUAACCGGCGAUUUCCGAAUGGGGAAACCCAGUGUGUUUCGACACACUAUCAUUAACUGAAUCCAUAGGUUAAUGAGGCGAACCGGGGGAACUGAAACAUCUAAGUACCCCGAGGAAAAGAAAUCAACCGAGAUUCCCCCAGUAGCGGCGAGCGAACGGGGAGGAGCCCAGAGCCUGAAUCAGUGUGUGUGUUAGUGGAAGCGUCUGGAAAGGCGCGCGAUACAGGGUGACAGCCCCGUACACAAAAAUGCACAUACUGUGAGCUCGAUGAGUAGGGCGGGACACGUGGUAUCCUGUCUGAAUAUGGGGGGACCAUCCUCCAAGGCUAAAUACUCCUGACUGACCGAUAGUGAACCAGUACCGUGAGGGAAAGGCGAAAAGAACCCCGGCGAGGGGAGUGAAAAAGAACCUGAAACCGUGUACGUACAAGCAGUGGGAGCCUCUUUAUGGGGUGACUGCGUACCUUUUGUAUAAUGGGUCAGCGACUUAUAUUCUGUAGCAAGGUUAACCGAAUAGGGGAGCCGAAGGGAAACCGAGUCUUAACUGGGCGUUAAGUUGCAGGGUAUAGACCCGAAACCCGGUGAUCUAGCCAUGGGCAGGUUGAAGGUUGGGUAACACUAACUGGAGGACCGAACCGACUAAUGUUGAAAAAUUAGCGGAUGACUUGUGGCUGGGGGUGAAAGGCCAAUCAAACCGGGAGAUAGCUGGUUCUCCCCGAAAGCUAUUUAGGUAGCGCCUCGUGAAUUCAUCUCCGGGGGUAGAGCACUGUUUCGGCAAGGGGGUCAUCCCGACUUACCAACCCGAUGCAAACUGCGAAUACCGGAGAAUGUUAUCACGGGAGACACACGGCGGGUGCUAACGUCCGUCGUGAAGAGGGAAACAACCCAGACCGCCAGCUAAGGUCCCAAAGUCAUGGUUAAGUGGGAAACGAUGUGGGAAGGCCCAGACAGCCAGGAUGUUGGCUUAGAAGCAGCCAUCAUUUAAAGAAAGCGUAAUAGCUCACUGGUCGAGUCGGCCUGCGCGGAAGAUGUAACGGGGCUAAACCAUGCACCGAAGCUGCGGCAGCGACGCUUAUGCGUUGUUGGGUAGGGGAGCGUUCUGUAAGCCUGUGAAGGUGUACUGUGAGGUAUGCUGGAGGUAUCAGAAGUGCGAAUGCUGACAUAAGUAACGAUAAAGCGGGUGAAAAGCCCGCUCGCCGGAAGACCAAGGGUUCCUGUCCAACGUUAAUCGGGGCAGGGUGAGUCGACCCCUAAGGCGAGGCCGAAAGGCGUAGUCGAUGGGAAACAGGUUAAUAUUCCUGUACUUGGUGUUACUGCGAAGGGGGGACGGAGAAGGCUAUGUUGGCCGGGCGACGGUUGUCCCGGUUUAAGCGUGUAGGCUGGUUUUCCAGGCAAAUCCGGAAAAUCAAGGCUGAGGCGUGAUGACGAGGCACUACGGUGCUGAAGCAACAAAUGCCCUGCUUCCAGGAAAAGCCUCUAAGCAUCAGGUAACAUCAAAUCGUACCCCAAACCGACACAGGUGGUCAGGUAGAGAAUACCAAGGCGCUUGAGAGAACUCGGGUGAAGGAACUAGGCAAAAUGGUGCCGUAACUUCGGGAGAAGGCACGCUGAUAUGUAGGUGAAGCGACUUGCUCGUGGAGCUGAAAUCAGUCGAAGAUACCAGCUGGCUGCAACUGUUUAUUAAAAACACAGCACUGUGCAAACACGAAAGUGGACGUAUACGGUGUGACGCCUGCCCGGUGCCGGAAGGUUAAUUGAUGGGGUUAGCGGUAACGCGAAGCUCUUGAUCGAAGCCCCGGUAAACGGCGGCCGUAACUAUAACGGUCCUAAGGUAGCGAAAUUCCUUGUCGGGUAAGUUCCGACCUGCACGAAUGGCGUAAUGAUGGCCAGGCUGUCUCCACCCGAGACUCAGUGAAAUUGAACUCGCUGUGAAGAUGCAGUGUACCCGCGGCAAGACGGAAAGACCCCGUGAACCUUUACUAUAGCUUGACACUGAACAUUGAGCCUUGAUGUGUAGGAUAGGUGGGAGGCUUUGAAGUGUGGACGCCAGUCUGCAUGGAGCCGACCUUGAAAUACCACCCUUUAAUGUUUGAUGUUCUAACGUUGGCCCCUGAUCGGGGUUGCGGACAGUGUCUGGUGGGUAGUUUGACUGGGGCGGUCUCCUCCUAAAGAGUAACGGAGGAGCACGAAGGUUGGCUAAUCCUGGUCGGACAUCAGGAGGUUAGUGCAAUGGCAUAAGCCAGCUUGACUGCGAGCGUGACGGCGCGAGCAGGUGCGAAAGCAGGUCAUAGUGAUCCGGUGGUUCUGAAUGGAAGGGCCAUCGCUCAACGGAUAAAAGGUACUCCGGGGAUAACAGGCUGAUACCGCCCAAGAGUUCAUAUCGACGGCGGUGUUUGGCACCUCGAUGUCGGCUCAUCACAUCCUGGGGCUGAAGUAGGUCCCAAGGGUAUGGCUGUUCGCCAUUUAAAGUGGUACGCGAGCUGGGUUUAGAACGUCGUGAGACAGUUCGGUCCCUAUCUGCCGUGGGCGCUGGAGAACUGAGGGGGGCUGCUCCUAGUACGAGAGGACCGGAGUGGACGCAUCACUGGUGUUCGGGUUGUCAUGCCAAUGGCACUGCCCGGUAGCUAAAUGCGGAAGAGAUAAGUGCUGAAAGCAUCUAAGCACGAAACUUGCCCCGAGAUGAGUUCUCCCUGAGACUUUAAGUCUCCUGAAGGAACGUUGAAGACGACGACGUUGAUAGGCCGGGUGUGUAAGCGCAGCGAUGCGUUGAGCUAACCGGUACUAAUGAACCGUGAGGCUUAACCUUACAACGCCGAAG
rnacentral:rRNA from 1 species